GCUCUCACUGUUUUGUUUUCCGUGGAAACCGGGUUCAAAUGGCUCUUUCCGGAUUACAGGUUGCCGACCCCUGACCCAGUGUAACGCUACAGUCACCCAGCAAAGAUUCAUUCCUGGAGAAACAACUGAUUGUUUUGGGAGGAAACUAGCCCUAAGCCCAUCCAUAAGAACUACCGGAGAGUAGAAACCUGGGGAGUGUUUCAGCAUCAAACCAGAGAAUCAAAUUUUAUAGCGAUUUGGAAUUGGAUUUUGUGUGGAGCUUCAGACUAAUUAACCUCGGAAAGGAGCAGAGUCUGAUUUACUUCUCCGAUGGAAGAUGCACAACCUGAACCCUGAGAGAUUUUUUUUUUAAAUCUUCUUGUAUCAUUCUGACUUGUUCUAUUAGCAUUUUUUUUGCAUUAAAACGUGUAACC